UUGAACUCUGAGUGCGAGUUGAGCCCAUCCUCACAACAUCAAACAAAAAGUAGAAGAAGAAACUCAACGAAUAGCUGGUGGAUUCUAGAACUUUCUGUAAAUGCAGCAGGUGCCAUUUUUGUUUUAUCAACGGACGGAGAUGGAUUACGAACUUGCAAGUCCUGGUGUGCUCUGUUCACUUUCAACCGAGGAACUCUUAACAAAAAUACAAGAGUGGGGCUUAGAUGUCACCGAAGCUGAAGCUCAGCGUUUCAGAGACAAUGAGGUUGAUGGUGACACAGUUGACUGCGGUCUUACUGAGACUAUGGUUGCAUACCUUUUCCAAGGAUCCUU